rnacentral:lncRNA from 1 species
AUGGACUACAUAUUAAGAAACACGAGCUUAGAAGCUCUUUUAGGUCCCUUUUAUAUCUAAUAGUCCAUUUUUCUGAUAAGUAACUAGACCUGAAGACCAAUUCACAUAGUGAUAAUUGUAUUAAAUCCUAUUCUGAAUAUUUAGUAUCCUUAUGCAAAUGUUAUAAUGAUGAGGUCACAUAUCUUUGUAUGGCAUUAAAAGAGUUAAAAGUUUAGGAAGAAUCUUCAAUGACAGGAUAAAACAUUUCUGUGGUUUGUGUUGCUGCUGUCAUUGUUUUGUUGUUAUUGUUUGAGAUAAUUACUCUACACAGAAAGCAAUGUUACACUGUUCUAUUUUGUAUAUCGCUGCUUAGCCCCAUCAGUAACAAAGAUGAAAAGAACUUGUAAAAAUGUGCCUUUGUUAAUACGCUUUAGGCAUUUAUUAAAGAAAGAAAAAAAGUUGGAGACAUUUUAUAGAAUAGAGGAACAUAUGUGUGAAAUCACAUGAACCAGAAAUCUUAACUUAAAAUAUCUUCAAAGGCAAUUUAACAGUUUUCCCUGGAAGGAUAUUAUUUCAACAAGCCUUGUCAGGAAAUUUAACCUCAUUUUAACCUAAACUUAUCACAUUGAAACGGAUUUUUUUUAUUUCUAUGAUUUUAUAACAAGAGAAGAUAGAAAUGUGCUGUUCACCAUGGGUAUAUACAAAACUACCACUUCAGAAAAGGACUUUCUUUUAUUAUUACUCAGAUUAUUAAUCUUCAAAGGAAAUUCUUUUAAUAAAUUCUAUAAUAAAAUUCAUUUUGACAUUUUCCUGGAAGUCUAUCCACAAAAAAUUUUAUAUUGGCUUCUUAGUUUGCAAACGUGGAUGCUUUAUAUUUUACAGCUUCUUUCUCUCUAGAAGGGAAAGGAUUAUAAACUUUGGGGGACUGGUAAAUUUUGGGUAGUUAUUUGCAAGCCUGGUUCAAUACUAUUGUCGUUCUCUGAGAUCAAUUUGUCUAAACAAUGGCGCUGUUGUUAAAGUUUCCUUUGGUUCCAGCUAUACAUCAUGGUCAUAGAAAUAGUUGACCUUUAAAAAGGGGAAAAUAAAUAGUUAGUGGAAAACAAAACGUA